rnacentral:tRNA from 1 species
GCACAUGUGGCGGAAUUGGUAUACGCGUUAGACUAAGGAUCUAAUUCUUAACGGAGUAAGUGUUCGAGUCCCUUCAUGUGCACCA